rnacentral:rRNA from 1 species
GUCUAUGGCCAUACCAUCCUAAAUGCGCCUGGUCUCAUCUGAUCUUGGAAGCUAAGCAGCGUCGGGCCUGGUUCGUACUUGCCUGGGAGACAAAUAACGGCCAUGAAGGAUCAUUAGAUA